rnacentral:rRNA from 1 species
UACGUAGGGAGCAAGCGUUGUCCGGAAUCAUUGGGCGUAAAGCGCGCGUAGGCGGCCCUGUAAGUCCGUUGUGAAAGUCAAAGGCUCAACCUUUGAAAGCCGAUGGAUACUGCAGGGCUAGAGUCCGGAAGAGGCGAGUGGAAUUCCUGGUGUAGCGGUGGAAUGCGCAGAUAUCGAGGAGGAACACCAAUAGCGAAGGCAGCUCGCUGGGACGGUACUGACGCUAAGGCGCGAAAGCGUGGGAGCGAACAGG